ACAAAUGUGCUCAGAAUUUCUUUUUGGCAUAAUCAUGAUAAUUACAUUUAUUUUAUUGUUUCUUGGGUGCAGCUUCUAUCAUGCAAUAUGCUAACUGAAGGUUCUUGAGGACUGUAUUAUAUCUGAACAUUCAUUCACCGUUACACAGUCGACAGAAAUACCUCUUUUGGCAAUAGAAACUUCGUAAAUGCGAUAGGUAAG
rnacentral:misc_RNA from 1 species